GGGAGUCUCCGGGAGGAGAGAGUCCACGCCGCGCGGCGCCGAGCAGCAGCCCCGAAACUGAGUGCGGCGGCGGCAGGACCGGCGGGACCGCCACGACUCACCAGGUGCAAUUAAGAACAUUCAUGAUUCAUGAGAGGUCAAAAUAUUGACAUUACCUGGAGUUUGAAAGAAGUUGAUUCCAACCCUCAUAGGUGCCUUUGAGGGUCUCAAGACUUCAGUGGAGGAAGUCACUGCAGACAUGGUGGAAACAGCAAGAGAACUAGAAUCAGAAGUGGAACCUGAAAGUGGGGCUGAAUUGCUGCAAUCUCAUGAUCAAACUUGAAUGAAUAAGGAAUUGCCUCUUAUGGAGGAGCAAAGAAAGUUGUUCAUUGAAAUGGAAUCUCCUUCUGGUGAAGAGCUGUGAACACUGUUAAAAUGACAAUGAAGGAUUUAGAAUACUAUGUCAACUUAGCUUAUAAAGAAGUGGCAGGGCUUGAGAGGAUUUACUCCAAUUUUGGAAGAAGUUCUAAUAUUGGUAAAGUGCUAUCAACAGGGAUCUCAUGUUACAAAGAAAUCUUUCAUAAAAGGAAGAGAGAGUCCAUCGAUGCCUCAAAUUCCAUUGUUGUCUUACUUUAAGAAAUUGCCUCACAGCCAACCAACCUUCAGCAACAAUUACCACCAUCAACACUGUGCUCAAGGGCCACCAAAAUGAGGGGGGCUGGUGAUGUCUGUGGUGCCCCUGUCCAUUCACGCCCAAAACAGAAGAUACUGAGAGUUGUUCACCUAACGUUUUCCUUUUCGUCAUGGACGCACAAGUGGAUUGCAUUUCCCAGCCUCUCUCACAGCUUUAACAUUGUUAUGACUACAAGAAGUGGCAUGUGGCCGUGAAAUGGAAGUGGAAGUUGAAAUUAUACUCACACAACAUUUUCCCUAUGUUUGGGCCUCUUCUGACAGAGCAAAAAUGACUUCCCCCACUGCCUCUCACGCUCACGGGUUAAGCCCCCUCUCUAUAGGAGCCGCCGCUCUUUCUCCCAUCUGCUUCUGCUGCGUGGAGGGAGGUGGCAGGACGCUGACAUGAUGCUGACACGAUGCUGUUGCCCUGCUGCCUUGGGCCCCGUUGAGGGAUCCAGGCUCCGGAUGAGGAGUGAGAGCUCAUGAGAUUUCAUUUGUAAAGUCGAACGGCUAAGUUUCUGACAGAUAAGGCCCUCAGCCAGUUACAAGGCAUGGUUGUGAAAGUGAAUUAUCUAGGGAAAAAAUGAGCCGCUCUGACUCUCCCGUGCCUUCAUCCAGUCAAAAGUUAAAUUAUCGCCCAAAUUUCCCCUCUGUACCUCUACUUAGCGGUACAAGUGUAAGCUGUACAUAAAACUCCAGUUAACUCUCACUGGGCAGGAGUGGCUCCAUUUCCCUUGCAUUCAGAGGUCACAUGGCUGCUGAAACCCUUAGGGGACGUUCACUCCCACUGAGAUGAAAUUUUAAGUCUUAACCCUGGUCUCUGACCUCGUAUCCUCUCCGUCUCCUUCUGGCCCUUGCUGCUCCAGUCACUCUUGUCUGGGAUUCCUCGGGUAUGUGAAGUAUUUUCCACUGUCUGAGCCUUUGCAUAUCUGUUCCUGUGACCUUCCUCCCAGAGAGCCAUGGAGCUCCAUUCUUCAUCAACUUCCUCCUCAUAAAGGCCUUCCUUGAUUGCCGUGACUAAAACAGCAUCACCGAUCCCUUUCUAAAACUGUGCCCUGCCAACAUACAGUUACACAGAAGGAAUAAAUUCAAUGUUUGAUAGCAGAAUAGGGUGACUAUAGUUAAACAAAAAUGUAUCGCACCCAGGAGAUGGACACCCUACUUUGAUCACUAUGCAUUAUAUACAUGUAACAAAAUUUCACAUGUACCCCAUAAAUUUGCACAAAUAAUAAAAAAUAAAUGUGU
rnacentral:lncRNA from 1 species